rnacentral:rRNA from 1 species
ACUCCUGCGGGAGGCAGCAGUGGGGAAUAUUGCACAAUGGGCGCAAGCCUGAUGCAGCCAUGCCGCGUGUAUGAAGAAGGCCUUCGGGUUGUAAAGUACUUUCAGCGGGGAGGAAGGCAAUACGGUUAAUAACCGUGUUGAUUGACGUUACCCGCAGAAGAAGCACCGGCUAACUCCGUGCCAGCAGCCGCGGUAAUACGGAGGGUGCAAGCGUUAAUCGGAAUUACUGGGCGUAAAGCGCACGCAGGCGGUCUGUCAAGUCGGAUGUGAAAUCCCCGGGCUCAACCUGGGAACUGCAUUCGAAACUGGCAGGCUUGAGUCUUGUAGAGGGGGGUAGAAUUCCAGGUGUAGCGGUGAAAUGCGUAGAGAUCUGGAGGAAUACCGGUGGCGAAGGCGGCCCCCUGGACAAAGACUGACGCUCAGGUGCGAAAGCGUGGGGAGCAAACAGGAUUAGAUACCCUAGUAGUCCCA